rnacentral:rRNA from 1 species
GACGAACGCUGGCGGCGUGCUUAACACAUGCAAGUCGAGCGAGUGGAUUCCCUUCGGGGAUGAAGCUAGCGGCGGACGGGUGAGUAACACGUGGGCAACCUGCCUUAUAGAGGGGGAUAGCCUUCCGAAAGGAAGAUUAAUACCGCAUAACAUCAGAUUAUCGCAUGGUAGACUGAUCAAAGGAGCAAUCCACUAUAAGAUGGGCCCGCGUCGCAUUAGCUAGUUGGUGAGGUAACGGCUCACCAAGGCGACGAUGCGUAGCCGACCUGAGAGGGUGAUCGGCCACAUUGGGACUGAGACACGGCCCAGACUCCUACGGGAGGCAGCAGUGGGGAAUAUUGCACAAUGGGGGAAACCCUGAUGCAGCAACGCCGCGUGAGUGAUGAAGGCCUUCGGGUUGUAAAGCUCUUUGAUCAGGGACGAUAAUGACGGUACCUGAAGAACAAGCCACGGCUAACUACGUGCCAGCCGCCGCCGUAAGAC